rnacentral:lncRNA from 10 species
UUCCCACACAGGACCUCUAAUUACUACUGCGUUCUUAUGAGGAGUGCCUUGUGCUUUGCAGCAUCUAACGUCUUGGUAGUGACCUGCCAGUGCCUGUCCAACCUGUCAGCAGAUCACGGUCGCGAACCCUGGGAGAGAGCUGACAACACGUUUCCCGUGUGAGACUCUGUGUCUCCCGAGAAGCAGACACCAAGACAGGAUGAGAGAUGCACAGAUUUUAUUGGGAAAAACACCUGCAGGAGAAAAGGGUCAUCAGAGCCUGAACAAGUCCUCCCGCAAUGACCUACCAGGUGGUGCCAGGCCUGUAGCAGGUACCCUGGAUCGGAUCGGCUGCUCUGCUCCACGAGGCUCCCAGCACCAUCUCAGCAGGUAGCU